AGAGUUUGAUCAUGGCUCAGAAUCAACGCUGGCGGCGUGCCUCAGACAUGCAAGUCGAACGCGAAAGUCCCCUUCGGGGGACGAGUAGAGUGGCGCACGGGUGAGUAACACGUAGGUAAUCUACCUUUGGAUGGGGAAUAACAACCGGAAACGGUUGCUAAUACCGCAUAAUGCAGCGGCACCUAAUGGUGACAGUUGUUAAAGCGGGGGAUCGAAAGACCUCGCGUCUGAAGAGGAGCCUGCGGCGGAUUAGCUAGUUGGUAGGGUAACGGCCUACCAAGGCGACGAUCCGUAGCCGGCCUGAGAGGGCGGUCGGCCACACUGACACUGACAUACGGGUCAGACUCCUACGGGAGGCAGCAGUCGGGAAUUUUGGGCAAUGGGCGAAAGCCUGACCCAGCAACGCCGCGUGAAGGAUGAAAUCCCUCGGGAUGUAAACUUCGCAAGAACGGGAAGAAUAAGUAGGGGACAACACCCCCUAUGAUGACGGUACCGUUUGUAAGCUCCGGCUAACUCCGUGCCAGCAGCCGCGGUAAUACGGGGGGAGCAAGCGUUGUUCGGAUUUACUGGGCGUAAAGGGCGCGUAGGCGGCCAGUGCAAGUCAGUUGUGAAAUCUCCGAGCUUAACUCGGAAAGGUCAACUGAUACUGCUCGGCUAGAGUGCGGAAGGGGCAACUGGAAUUCUUGGUGUAGCGGUGAAAUGCGUAGAUAUCAAGAGGAACACCUGCGGCGAAGGCGGGUUGCUGGGCCGACACUGACGCUGAGGCGCGAAAGCUAGGGGAGCGAACGGGAUUAGAUACCCCGGUAGUCCUAGCCUUAAACGAUGAAUGCUUGGUGUCUGGGGUUAUAUAGUCCCCGGGUGCCGUCGCUAACGCUUUAGCAUUCGCCUGGGAGUACGUCGCAGACUGAAACUCAAUGAUUGACGA
rnacentral:rRNA from 1 species